GCUAAAUUUCUAGCCUCACAAAUAAUCACAAACCCAAUCAACUUAUUCUUCUACUUUAAAACAUUUUCCUAAUUUAGUAAAGGCGAUAAAAAAAUUAUUUUGAGCAAUAUAAAUAGUACCGUAAGGGAAUGAUGAAAUAAAAUUGAAACAACUCUUAAGCAUAAAAAAGUAGAGCUUGCCCCUUGUACCUUUUGCAUCAUGGUUUAACUAGUCCCUAUUAGGCAAAAAGACUUUUUAGUCUAACUCCCCGAACCUAGGCGAGCUACUUUAAGACAGCUUUUAGAGCCAACCCAUCUCUGUUGCAAAAGAGUGGGAAGAUCUUAUAGUAGCGGUGACAGACCAAACGAGCCUAGUGAUAGCUGGUUGCUUUUUAAAAGGAUUUUAGUCCAGCUUAAAGUCAUUCCCAUUCUUAGAAAUUAAACUUUAAAGUAAUUCAAAUAAGGUUCAGCCUAUUUGAAAAAGGAUACAACCUCAACCACUGGGUUACAUACACCAAAAAAGUAUAGUAGGCUUAAAAGCAGCCACCUUAAAAAGCGUCAUAGCUUAAUUUUCAAAUUUGUGUAAUUUCUUAAAUUUCCCUCAACCCUUCAUUACCAAAAAGCAAUUCUAUAUUCUUAUAGAAAUUUUUAUGUUAAAACUAGUAACAAGAAGCAGCCCUUCUCUUAAAUGUGCCUAUAUAUCAAUAUGGACCCACCAUUGAUAAUUAACGCCUCUAAACCCAUAGUACCUCCCUCCCCCGAAAGCCCUACUAUCACCUACGUUAACCUAACACAAGAACAUUAAAAGAAAGAUUAAAAGAUAAGGAAGGAACUCGGCAAACAUUAGCCUCGCCUGUUUACCAAAAACAUCGCCUCCUGACUAACCAUAAGAGGUCAAGCCUGCCCAGUGACAUUGUUCAACGGCCGCGGUAUCCUAACCGUGCGAAGGUAGCGUAAUCACUUGUUCUUUAAAUGAGGACUAGUAUGAAUGGCUUCACGAAGGCUAUACUGUCUCCCUUAUUCAAUCAGUAAAACUAAUCUCCCCGUGAAGAAGCGGGGAUUCACCUAUAAGACGAGAAGACCCUAUGGAGCUUUAAACGCCUUAAACACUUGAGUUUACACUUCUUCUAUCAGGGAUUUAAACUAAGCCCCUCAUUUUGUUUAAAGUUUUAGGUUGGGGUGACCACGGAGAACAAUCUAACCUCCACGUAGAAAGAGGCUCCCCUCUAAGCAAAAAGCUACAUCUUAAUGCAUCAAAAUAUUGACCUAAAUUGACCCAUUGUUUGAUCAACGAACCAAGUUACCCUAGGGAUAACAGCGCAAUCCGCUUUAAGAGCUCCUAUCGACAAGCGGGCUUACGACCUCGAUGUUGGAUCAGGGAAUCCCAGUGGUGUAGCAGCUACUAACGGUUCGUUUGUUCAACGAUUAAAACCCUACGUGAUCUGAGUUCAGACCGGAGUAAUCCAGGUCAGUUUCUAUCUAUAAAGAGUUUUUUCUAGUACGAAAGGACCGAAAAAACAUGGCCUAUGCUCUCAAUAUCAAGCCGUCUUUUCAAAAUUUAUGUUUCAAACUUAAUAACUAAGAACCCUAAUAUCAACUUUAAGACCAAAAUUCUUAA
rnacentral:rRNA from 1 species